GUCAGAGCGUUGCCAUGGCUUACCAUGGCAAUGCUCCGCGCGGCAUGCACACCGCGCUCGCGGGAGUUACAGAGAGGGAAAAGCUUGUAAGUACACUUGCAGUCCGCAGGACCCCCUCUGCAAGUACAGGGAGCCGGGGGGCCCCACAAUGCCACCGGACCAACAGGGAUCAUGGAAUCUCCCCCCUCCCUGAACCAGGGAGGGGGGAAUAACCUUUUUGGAAUGCUCUAUUUACACUACAUGCAUUCUGACACACACUCUGCAUUCAUUACACUGACACACACACACUCUGCAUUCACUACACUAACACACAGACACUCUGCAGACUCUACACUAACACACACACACACUGCAUACACUACACUAACACACACACACUUUGCAUCCACUACACUGACACACACACACUCUGCAUCCACUACACUGACACACACUCUGCAUUAACUAUACACACAGCAUCCACUACACGAACACACACUCUGCAUUCACUGCACAAACAGUAACUAAUACACACAAAC